GACGAACGCUGGCGGCGUGCUUAACACAUGCAAGUCGAACGGAAAGGCCCUGCUUUUGUGGGGUGCUCGAGUGGCGAACGGGUGAGUAACACGUGAGUAACCUGCCCUUGACUUUGGGAUAACUUCAGGAAACUGGGGCUAAUACCGGAUAGGAGCUCCUGCUGCAUGGUGGGGGUUGGAAAGUUUUGGCGGUUGGGGAUGGACUCGCGGCUUAUCAGCUUGUUGGUGGGGUAGUGGCUUACCAAGGCUUUGACGGGUAGCCGGCCUGAGAGGGUGACCGGCCACAUUGGGACAGAGAUACGGCCCAGACUCCUACGGGAGGGAGCAGUGGGGAAUAGUGCACAAUGGGCGGAAGCCUGAUGCAGCAACGCCGCGUGCGGGAUGACGGCCUUCGGGUUGUAAACCGCUUUCGCCUGUGACGAAGCGUGAGUGACGGUAAUGUGUAAAGAAGCACCGGCUAACUACGUG
rnacentral:rRNA from 1 species